UACGUAGGGUGCAAGCGUUAAUCGGAAUUACUGGGCGUAAAGCGUGCGCAGGCGGUUGUGUAAGUCAGAUGUGAAAUCCCCGGGCUCAACCUGGGAACUGCAUUUGUGACUGCAUCGCUGGAGUGCGGAAGAGGGGGAUGGAAUUCCGCGUGUAGCAGUGAAAUGCGUAGAUAUGCGGAGGAACACCGAUGGCGAAGGCAAUCCCCUGGGCCUGCACUGACGCUCAUGCACGAAAGCGUGGGGAGCAAACAGG
rnacentral:rRNA from 1 species